rnacentral:rRNA from 1 species
AGUGAACGCUGGCGGUAGGCCUAACACAUGCAAGUCGAACGGCAGCACAGUAAGAGCUUGCUCUUACGGGUGGCGAGUGGCGGACGGGUGAGGAAUACAUCGGAAUCUACUUUUUCGUGGGGGAUAACGUAGGGAAACUUACGCUAAUACCGCAUACGACCUACGGGUGAAAGCAGGGGAUCUUCGGACCUUGCGCGAUUAAAUGAGCCGAUGUCGGAUUAGCUAGUUGGCGGGGUAAAGGCCCACCAAGGCGACGAUCCGUAGCUGGUCUGAGAGGAUGAUCAGCCACACUGGAACUGAGACACGGUCCAGACUCCUACGGGAGGCAGCAGUGGGGAAUAUUGGACAAAGGGCGCAAGCCUGAUCCAGCCAUACCGCGUGGGUGAAGAAGGCCUUCGGGUUGUAAAGCCCUUUUGUUGGGAAAGAAAAGCAGCAGGUUAAUACCCCGCUGUUCUGACGGUACCCAAAGAAUAAGCACCGGCUAACUUCGUG